GUUUGAACUUGAGAUUUUGCUGUUUUGUGAUCUUGAAUUUGUGUGGGUUUUUUUUAACUUGAGUUUUUGGUGUUUUUGAAUUUGAGUUUCUGUUGUUUUUGAACAUGAGGUUGUGGCAAUUUGUUAAACUUGAGAUUUGGGUGUUGGUUGAAAUUAAGUUUCGGCAUUUUUGAACUUGAGUUUGUGGUGUUUUUGAACUUGAAUUUGUGUGUUUUUUGAACCUGAGUUUGUUGAACUUGAGUUUUUGGCAAUUCUUUAAUGUUAAUAUAGGUUAUUUGUUGAAUUUGAAAUUUUGGCAUUUUUUGAACUUAAGCUUGUGGUGUUUGUUGAACUUGAGUUUGUGGCAAUUGUUAACAUUGAGUCUGUAUUUUUCUCUGAACAUUAGUUGGUGGCAAUUGUUGAACUUGAGUUCGUGUGUUUGUUGAACUUGAGUUUUUGUCGUUUAGAACUUGAGUUUGUGGUGUUUUUGAACUUGAGGUUUUGGCAAAUGUUAAACUUGAUAUUUGGGUGUUGUUUGAACUUGAGUUUGUGUCGUGUUUGAACUUGAGUUUGUGUCGUGUUUGAACUUGAGUUUGUGUCGUGUUUGAACUUGAGUUUGUGUCGUGUUUGAACUUGAGUUUGUGUCAUGUUUGAACUUGAGUGUUGUGUUUGAACUUGAGUUUGUUGCAAUUUUUGAACUUGAGUUUUGAACUUGAGUCUUUGGUUUUUAGUGAACUUUAUUUGGUGGCGUUUGUUGAACUUGAGUUUGUCGCGUGUUUGAACUUGAGUUUGUGUUGUUUUUUAACUUGAGGUUUUGGCAAUUGUUAAUCUUUAGAUUUGGGUGUUGGUUGAACUUAAAACUUUGACAUUUGUUGAACUUGACUUUGUGGUGUUCAUUUAACUUGAGUUUGUGGUGUUUUUGAACUUGAAUUUUUGUGUUUUUUUAACUUGAGUUUGUGGUGUUUUUGAACUUGAAUUUGUGUGUUUUUUGAACUUGAGGUUGUUGCAAUUUUUGAACUUGAGUUUGUUGAACUUGAGUUUUUGGCAAUUGUUAAAUGUGAGUUUAGGUCAUUUGUUGAAUUUGAAAUUUUGGCAUUUUUUGAACUUAAGAUUGUGGUGUUUGUUGAACUUGAGUUUGUGGCAAUUGUUGAACUUGAGUCUGUAUUUUUCCCUGAACUUUAGUUUGAAUUUUUGUGUGUUUUUUGAAUUUAAGUUUGUGGCAAUUGUUAAACUUGAGUUUGUGUGUUUGUUUAACUUGAGUUUGUGGCGUGUUUUGACUUGAGUUUCUGUUGUUUUUGAACUUGAGGUUGUGGCAAUUGUCAAACUUGAGAUUUGGGAUUUGGUUGAACUUGAGUUUGUGUCGUGUUUGAACUUUGGUUUGUGGUGCUUUUUAACUUGAGUUUGUGGCGGUGUUGAGCUUGAGUUUGUGGCGUGUUUUAACCUGAAUUUUUGUUGUUUUUCUUACUUGAGGCUUCGGCAAUUGUUAAACUUUAGAUUUGGGUGUUGGUUGAACUUAAAACUUUGACAUUUAUUGAACUUAUGUAUGUGGUGUUCAUUGAACUUCAGUUUUUGUCUUGUUUGAACUUGACUUUGUGGUGUUUUUGAACUUGAGUUGGUGGUGUUUUUGAACUUGAGUUGGUGGAAAUUGUUGAACUUGAGAAUUGGGUGUUGGUUGAACUUGAGUUUGUGGUGUUUUUGAACUUGAGUUUGAGUUUGUUUGUUUGUUGAACUUGAGUUCGUGGCGUGUUUGAACUUGAGUUUGUGUUCUUUUUGAACUUGAGGUUGUGGAAAUUGUUAAACUCGUCUCCUUGAGCCAUCAUGAAGGCGGAGGUGGCGGGGGUAGAGCAGCAAUGAACAAACCUCCCCUGGAACAGGAGCGCUUUAAGGACAGCGGAGCAAUUAGCUGGCACGAGGGUGGAGCUGGUGUGGCAGUGUGUUGCUGGUUUGCUGUCAGAGCAGAGGAAGAGGCUGGGUUAGUGCAGUUUUAAAUAAGGCACUCUAUAGGCAAAGAACCAAUAGGAUCUAGGUGUGAAUCAGCUGAUUAUCAUCUGGUUGAGGUGGCUACUAGCCAUUGGCUGUGGAUCAGCGCUUGACGUUGUGUCCUGACAGAACUAACGCUAUGCUUCAUUUCAGUCAGGUACACUUUGUCCAAAUUUUUAGCUUUAUUGUGCAAGUUAGAUUUGGCGGCAUGAUUCUGUUCCGGGUCCCUGCCCUUCCACGCGCUUGUGUGGAAGCCCAAGGCAGGAAGAGCCCCUUCCUGCCUUUCACGAGCCAUCAUGAAAGGCGAUAGCAGGGAGCGCACGCGAGGUUCUGUUCAGGGCCCCCGUUCUCCACGUUGGCAGGGGUGAAAGGCCAGCGGCAGGAAGAGCACCUUCCCGCCCUCCACGUGCCAUCAUGAAGGCGGAGGAGGCAGGGGUAGAGCAGCAAUGAACAGAACCCCCCCAAAACAACCAUGCCGUGCAGUCUAGGAGCUAGCAGGGGAGGUGAGCGCUGCUGAAAGAAAGACGGGUUAGAGAGACCCGUUGCCCAAGCAUGGAUAUUUAUCUGCAGGUUGUUUAUAUAUUUCAUUUAAUUAGCAUCUAUGUGCCAAAGUUAUGGGUACUCAUAGUUUUUGGGCUUCGAGAAUGUCCCGAGCCUCGGGGCGCAGAUAGCGUUUGUACGCAGCUGACGACUAUUGGCCCAUGGCUUUGAGGGUCGACACAGGAGCCGUCAUAGCUGCGGUUGUAGCUGCACCUAUGUGAAAGGAAUGAGCCGUGUAGCGAUCUGAAGGAUGUGUGGAGGGCGAUCAGCUAAGCUGUCAUCUGACUGAGGGCUAGCUUAAGAUCAGCUGGCUUUAACCUUUAGCUUGACUGUACCUUGUGUCCUGCCUGAACUACAGCCAUGCUUAAUUUCAGUCAGGACUACUUUAGUUAGAAUCAAUUAUUUAUUACUAGCAAAAUAUUUUUUAACAUUGUCGGUAUGGCUCUGUUCUGAGAGUUCCCUGCUCUCUCAUGCGCUUGCAUAGAAUCCCAAGGCAAUGAGAGGGAAUGCCCUCCCCUCCCUUUCAUGUGCAUAUAUGAAAAGCCAAGGCAGAAAAAGCAGCAGCCAUACUGGCAACCCUCCCCAGCUUUCAUGAGCUACAUGAAGGCACCUACAGGGGAGGGAGGGCAGCCAGCAGCGAGAAACUAUGAAGCAACCUACCCACCUACAAAGCUUGCAUAGUAUUGGUUACCCUCACAACAUGAUCAUGGAUCAGGAUUAAUUUAAUCCAUACACAAAUUUAUAGUUGGGAAUAUGCGUAAUGCAAUAGAUAUGGGAAAGAAUUAAGGAGCAGCAGCAAUUUUUUUUUUGUAGCUAAUCGAGCAUAGGAAUAUUCUAAUAAUAAUAAUAUAUUAGCCUUGGGCCUGAGGUAUCAUUCAAAGGCUGAUCGGGACCAUUGACCCGUGGCCCUGAGCGUCGAGACGGGGACGAUGGAAGAUGCAGUUGUAGCUGUGCCUAUGCGUGGUGAAUGCGUAGAGUUGUACUCAGGUAGGAGCCAACAGGAUUGGCCGAGCAGGCAGAGGUGAGCAGAAAGCUGCAAUCUGGAUAUAGGUUUCCCUUCUUCAGUGGCAAAGAGAGACUCUUGCUGGCUGGCCAGUGGCCGGCCUCUCAGGCAGCGGGACAUGGAGGAUAAAGAACAAAGACAGAGUUAGUUUUGGAAAUAUUAGAAAAAAAAAAAGUGCGAGAUUCAAAACUGUGGACUAUUAAAGCACAUACAAUGGAUAUAUUUAGGGCGUUGGGGCUACAGAGAAGGUGGUACAAAAGAGGUAAAGUGAGACCAUGCAGAAUCGUAUAAACUUUAAUGCUGAUUUUGCUUAACCAGCUCUCAAGUAGCUGUCAACAGAGAGCACUAAGGAUUGCAAGGCUGCACUCAGACUAACACAGUCUGAAUGAAUGGCUUCACGAACAGCCGUUGGGAUGCUUUGCCAGUGCCUUCCCCGGCUCAAGGACAUUUGACAGAGUAGACAGCUUUGUUUUUUCCCGUUUUACCAGGUGGGUGCGUCAUGGGCAUGCUGAUUUCAGAUGCCCGUCCCUGGAGUAACUUGGCUUCUCCGAGUAGUAGGCUUAGAGAGGCUUGGGUGGUUGGCCUGUAGCCACAGUUUUAGGGCACCGAUUAGAGGUGUGGGCAGGGGUGGACAAGGUAGGAUAAGGUUCCUCCAGGUACUGUACCCGUAGACUUUGUACAAGAGGAGCACACCCAAGUUAAGCGAGUUGCUGACUCCGAUGCCACAGUAUCAUCAUCUGCUGUAUCUCUCUCUUAAACAUAAAAUUAUUAUUAUUAUUAUUAUUAUUAUUAUUAUUAUUAUUAUUAUUAUUUUCCUCUGCAUUUUGUCUUAUUUCUGCAUUAAGAUUGAAGCAGCUGACUCUUUAAAAGUUCCCUCCUUCCGCAAAAGGCGGAAGGCGGGCCCCUGCACCUAGGCAACCAGCGUCCAAUCAAAAGUGCGCACUGGUGCUCCCACUUGGAGUUUAUUUGUAAGCAAAUACCACUCACUCUCAAGCGGCAUGGUCCUAUUGGAUUACUUCGGUUAUAACGCAGAGUGCAGACUGAUGUGCAGCAACAGACUAAGCCUAGAUACAUGACAGGGGUGAAAACUUUAAACAGCUGAUUAUGUCUUCCCGAAAUGGCGUACUGCUGCGUAAUGGCUUACUUUCACCUCCAGGUGAGAGAAACACCCGCAGAUUAAGCAGGAAAAAGCUUGAUGCUCGGUGAAUUGUUAACUGAUUAGAGCCAGGUCGACUACGGACUGAUCAAGUCUUUGGCUGAAUCUUUGAAUGUACUUAGCAGCUUUGCUGAAAAUGAUUUGUAAUGUUCCUAGAAUAAUGAUCCUCCCUAUGUCAUGGCUGAAUCAGAAAUAAUGGCAAGAUAUGUGUCCAGUUCAGUUCUGCGUGCUGAAAACAAUUUACAUAUGACAUCUACAAAUACGCUGAAAGCUAUGAAUUCAGCCAAGGUCGGAGAUUUAAACAGCCGGGCAUCACGAUAUUUAAGCAUCACAGGCUCAUCUCCGCAAUCCACAAUGCGUCUAUCAUUGUAGUCUGAGCACAGCAAGACUAAUGUCAGUACCUGCAAGGAUUUGGCUCCGCGGAUUAGGUGUAAUUGCAGCCGCGACCAGGUCGCGUCGCGUGGCGCUCUGGUGUGUUCACACCGGGUCCAAAGCUGCGGUCGCAGGACACGGCUGGUCGCUGCUGACCCGCUUCUCCUACCUUCCAUCUCCCUCCUUUUCUCCCUCAUAUAUACAUCCCGCAGCCCAGUUCAAAUAUUUGAACUUUGGGAGCGACGAGACUUGGCGUCCUGCGACCUCGGAAACGCAACUUCGGCAACGCGACGCAGGUAGCCAGCGGUCGCCAAGUCGCGUCAGGUCGCGGCUGUCCAUAGACUUUGCAUUGGGAGCCAUCGCCGACGUCACCGAAGUCGCGUUUGGUCUGAACACCCCUUAACGCUAAGC
rnacentral:lncRNA from 1 species